GAUGGUCCUGUGAGCUUGACCUCACCUGUCCUCUGAGGGUGGGAGGAAAACGCCCUGACACCAGGGGAGUGGAUGUCAAGCACUUGGGUACUGUGGUGAUAAUGUUACAUACAUAUCAAGUGGAAUGGGAAAAAAAACAUCCAGAAGGCAGAAGGCAAUUUCAAGCAUGCAAAAUGGGGUCACUGACAUGGAAAUGCAGAGAUAUCUAAUUCCCAUUGUGCCAGCAUUAUGUAAAUAUCUGAUUAAUUAGCGCUGGGAGAUCCAGGGGAGGCCUUUAUCUGAAGAGCAGUUCGACCAUUAGCAAAGGAAACUUCCUUGUGCACCAGCAGCUCAGAUAACAAGGUAAGAUAAUAGUCACAAUCCUUCUCUGCCUAACGCAAACAGGAGCACUCCCUCUUACCCC
rnacentral:lncRNA from 1 species